rnacentral:lncRNA from 1 species
UGGCAUUUGUAUUUAGCAUCCCUUCAUAGCUCAAUCAAAAAUAUAUAUUUUUGAUGUCCAGAAUAAACACUGCCUUUUUUCAGUCAAAUCAUGGUGUUGCCAGUCAUUCAAAGUGACAUUGAUGAGUAACAUGCCCCAUACAGGAAGGUCCUUGGAUGAUAACUCUGGUAUCAUCCCUCAUACGUACCCAAGGCAGGAUUAAAGCUAUAAACUCACAGCUCACAGAUGGUUGCUUUAAAUUGGUUGUCUGGUCUACCAAGAACAUCUGCUUAUGUAGGGGUUUGAUUUCGGAGAUAAGCAACUUGGUGCAUCAAUGAAUAUAGGUGGCUUGGGGGAGGAGUAUGGCUUGGGACCCCUCUCUGGAAGCUGCAGGGGUAGUUCAGCUGAGAGGGUAGAGGGGAAGGCUAGUGUUUCCCACGCCUCAGGUUUCCCUGGUCAAAGCCGGAACGGCACAAAGAGACGUCUAUCUAACACUGAGGCAGAGCGGCCAGUCUUAGUAACCAUAGCCAACCUGCUGAAUGCAGAAUCUGAGCCUGUGUGUGUGUCUAUCUGGCCUCUCUGCCAAGACAUAGGACUUACAUUAGGCUUGCCAUUGGGCACGUUGAAGCGGCUGUGUGUGGAGUACAUUUGGAUGUCUGCCCCGUGGUUGAUCUGGUCAUAUGGGCUGAAGCUUCCAUAUCUCUGCCUACAGCACAACCACACUAGCUGAAGGUCAAGAAAAGACAAGAAUCAUUGUAAAAUGGCCUUCAUAGCAUAACAUACUGUAACUGUUAGAGCAGGGUUGUGGCUGUUUCUGAGAAAAUGGAGGUCUACAAUGCAUUCAGGGAGAAACAGUGUGCAUCUGUAUGUCUGUUUGUUUUUGUACUCACCAGCAGUAUUAGGAGAAUAAGGAGGAUUAACAAGAUCAGGGCAGCCAGUACCAAUAGAGCGAUCCCCCAUCCUGGGACUCCCUCACCGCCCCCAGCAACUACAGCUGCAGCAUGCUCUGUGGUCUUAUGGGUUGCCUCCGUAUUCUCUGUGUUCUUAUGACUGACCGUUUGGCCCGUAGCAGCCUGAUACUUGCUUGUUGCUCUCUCAGUAGGGGCAACUGGGGGGUUAGAUUGGCCCGAGGUAGUUGUUAAUGGAGAGGUUUUACGUAAGACUGUCGUGCUACUGGUCUGGGGAGGAUUUUUAGGGGUAAUAGGGGGGGUUAUUUUGCUAGUUGUAGUGUUAUGCUCUCCAGGACUAGGGGGGGUUAUUUUGCUAGUUGUAGUGUUAUGCUCUCCAGGACUAGGGGGGGUUAUUUUGCUAGUUGUAGUGUUAUGCUCUCCAGGACUAGGGGGGUUAUUUUGCUAGGUGUAGUGUUAUGCUCUCCAGGACUAGGGGGGUUAUUUUGCUAGUUGUAGUGUUAUGGUCUCCAGGACUAGGGGGGGUUAUUUUGCUAGUUGUAGUGUUAUGCUCUCCAGGACUAGGGGGGGUUAUUUUGCUAGUUGUAGUGUUAUGCUCUCCAGGACUAGGGGGGGUUAUUUUGCUAGUUGUAGUGUUAUGGUCUCCAGGACUAGGGGUGGUUGUGUUGCUAGUUGUAGUGUUAUGCUCUCCAGGACUAGGGGUGGUUGUGUUGCUAGUUGUAGUGUUAUGCUCUCCAGGACUAGGGUUAGUUGUGUUGCUAGUUGUAGUGUUAUGCUCUCCAGGACUAGGGUUAGUUGUGUUGCUAGUUGUAGUGUUAUGGUCUCCAGGACUAGGGGUGGUUGUGUUGCUAGUUGUAGUGUUAUGCUCUCCAGGACUAGGGGUGGUUGUGUUGCUAGUUGUAGUGUUAUGCUCUCCAGGACUAGGGGUGGUUGUGUUGCUAGUUGUAGUGUUUUUGUCAGGACUAGUGGUGGUGGUUGUGAGGGUAUGACUACUUGUGAUGUUGCCAGAUGAAGUAAUUGCUGUAGAUGUAGUUGCAUCCCCAGCCCAUCCUGAACGGCUAGCCGUACUAUCUAAGGCAGCUACGGUUGCUGUGGUACGUGCCACAAGAGGUAGUGUGGCUUUUAUUGGAAGUUGACCUAAGGAAUAAAGAACAUAUUUGUGAUUCCUGCUUUAUUUUACUAAUAAC